AGGCAGCAGUGAGGAAUCUUGCGCAAUGGGCGAAAGCCUGACGCAGCCAUGCCGCGUGUAUGAUGAAGGUCUUAGGAUUGUAAAAUACUUUCACCGGUGAAGAUAAUGACUGUAGCCGGAGAAGAAGCCCCGGCUAACUUCGUGCCAGCAGCCGCGGUAAUACGAAGGGGGCUAGCGUUGCUCGGAAUUACUGGGCGUAAAGGGAGCGUAGGCGGACAUUUAAGUCAGAGGUGAAAUCCCGGAGCUUAACUUCGGAACUGCCUUUGAUACUGGGUGUCUUGAGUGUGAGAGAGGUAUGUGGAACUCCGAGUGUAGAGGUGAAAUUCGUAGAUAUUCGGAAGAACACCAGUGGCGAAGGCGACAUACUGGCUCAUUACUGACGCUGAGGCUCGAAAGCGUGGGGAGCAAACAGGAUUAGAUACCCUGGUAG
rnacentral:rRNA from 1 species